rnacentral:rRNA from 1 species
UAGGAUUCCUUGAGUAGUUGCGAACGAAAAAGGAAAAGUUCAGCACGUAGGGUUGUAGCGCUUUAUUGCUUAUUGACCGGUUCCGUGUAAAGGAGGUCCAUUAUCUUGCGCAUAUAAGCAUCAUAUUCAAGUCCAGCUUGAAUGCGGCUCAAUAUACCCAUUGGAGGGUGCCAGGCCCGUUUAUGUAUGAUGUUUGUGUGAGAGGGCUACAACUCCUAAGAGUCAUGUUGCUUGAUAGUGCAGCAUAAAGUGGGAGGUAAACUCCUUCUAAAGCUAAAUAUUACCAUGAGACCGAUAGCGAACAAGUACCGUGAGGGAAAGUUGAAAAGCACUCUGAAUAGAGAGUCAAAUAGUACGUGAAACUGUCUAGGGGUUCAAACCUAAAGAACCCAAAUAUCUAAACGGAGAGAUUCAAUAUUGCUGUUAAAGGCAAUGUGCACUUCUCUCUUAGUAAGACGCCGUGAUCCAUUAGAAAUUGGAUCAUCUCAAUGAUCAUUUGGCUAUCAAUAGGCCAGCACGAAGUUCAUCAAUAUAAAUAACUCGAUCUUUAAUGGCUGGGUAUAUUGUAUGGUGAGCGUGUUGUAACCUGCUUAAUAGCUGUCUGAUGGAUUUUAAAGGCCAUAUUAUUGAUGAUUAUCAUCACUCAUUCGUGAGCUUAGAUAUGUGCCCGAUCAACGGCGGUCAAAUUUGGGAUACCUUUUGGACCCGUCUUGAAACACGGACCAAGGAGUCUAUCUAGUGUGCAAGUAAAUGAGCAUAUGAAACUCAUUUGCAAAAGAAACUUGACUGUUUAUGGGACUACGAGUAGCAUUUUAUAUGUUGCUCCUCAAUCCCGGGGUAUUUUUAUCAACAUAUGUAGCAAUGCAUAUGGAAAAUAUACCCAUGAGCAUACUGGAUGACCC